GCCAGCAUGGUGUAGUGGUUUGAGCGUUGGUCUAUGAAUCUAGAGACCAGGGUUCAAAUCUCUGCUCAGCCA